rnacentral:rRNA from 1 species
GUUGACCUCGGAUCAGGUAGGGUUACCCGCUGAACUUAAGCAUAUCAAA